rnacentral:rRNA from 1 species
AUUGAACGCUGGCGGCAGGCUUAACACAUGCAAGUCGAGCGGGGUGAUGGUGCUUGCACUAUCACUUAGCGGCGGACGGGUGAGUAAUGCUUAGGAAUCUGCCUAUUAGUGGGGGACAACAUCUCGAAAGGGAUGCUAAUACCGCAUACGUCCUACGAGAGAAAGCAGGGGAUCACUUGUGACCUUGCGCUAAUAGAUGAGCCUAAGUCGGAUUAGCUAGUUGGUGGGGUAAAGGCCUACCAAGGCGACGAUCUGUAGCGGGGCUGAGAGGUUGAUCCGCCACACUGGGACUGAGACACGGCCCAGACUCCUACGGGAGGCAGCAGUGGGGAAUAUUGGACAAUGGGGGGAACCCUGAUCCAGCCAUGCCGCGUGUGUGAAGAAGGCCUUAUGGUUGUAAAGCACUUUAAGCGAGGAGGAGGCUCUUUUGGUUAAUACCCAAGAUGAGUGGACGUUACUCGCAGAAUAAGCACCGGCUAACUCUGUGCCAGCCGCCGCUGUAA